rnacentral:rRNA from 1 species
UACGAGGGGGGCGAGCGUUGUUCGGAAUUAUUGGGCGUAAAGGGUGCGUAGGCGGUUUGAUAAGUCUUGUGUGAAAUCUCUGGGCUCAACCCAGAGUCUGCAUAGGAAACUGCCAGGCUUGAGGCAUGGAGAGGGAUGCGGAAUUCCCGGUGUAGUGGUGAAAUGCGCAGAUAUCAGGAGGAACACCGGUGGCGAAGGCGGGUCUCUGGGCCGAUACUGACGCUGAGGAGCGAAAGCGUGGGGAGCGAACAGG